CAGCCAAAAUGGAAGACCAAAAGCACAAAGAAAAUCAAUCACAGCAAGCCAGUAAAACCAGUCCUGUUGGGAAUGAACAUGGUCUUCUUGUGCCCAAACAGGGAAGACAGAGAACUGAAAAUUUGCACAUUUCCAUUGCUCCUAGAAUGAGCAAAUCAGCUGUGCAUCAUCUCUGGAAUUUGGGAAGGAAAUGACCGAAUAUGGAGGAUGAAGCCAGUUGAUGAAGAUAUCAAUUCAGUGGCCACCAAGUGCUGCACUGUUGCCUGAACCCAUCAGGUAUCUGCUGUGAAGACUGCAUUCACGAACAGCUCUACUGCGACAGCUCAGAUGUUACGGCCC